rnacentral:lncRNA from 1 species
GCAGUGUGAUGCGCGCGAGGCUUGGAGUCUUAUAGCCCGGAGGCUGAGCCGCAGAUCCCGGUGACGGCAGUUGCGCCGACCGGAUGAGCUCGCGAUAGGUGCGGGGGUUAGUUUCAUCCCAACACCGGCUUGGGAAAGACCGACCGAGCGGAUCACAACAACCCGCCGAUUCCUCCCCGAUAGGUGCGCGCAAGGAAAAUGGAGGAGCUGACCACGCACGCGAGAAGGACGAGAGAGCUUAUCGCGCGAGGACGACGGAUUUGGUUGCAACAGCCCCGAUCCGAGCUGGGAGAUGACCCUGGCAUGUCGCCCCACCAAACAGCGGCAGCAGAGUAGAUCGGCCGACCGGGCCCAUGUGUCAGUGGCACAACAGAGUGAGAGGGGCGCGGAUGGUUCGUAAUGGGCCGAAAUUUGGCUCCCGCGGCCCAGGUAAUCUUUUAUCCCUUUUCUUUUGUUUUUUUCUCUGUUUUCUUUUAUUCCUAAUCCCUUUGAAUUUAAAUUCUGAAUCCAACUUAAGUGCAAAUUCGAAUUCGUGUUAACUAUGUAAUUUGGUCACACCAUCAUGUGAUGAAGUUAUCUAAUUAUAUUAUUAUUUUAUAUCGGGUAAUAUUUCUUUCUAUCCUCUAUUUUCAUGGUUUGUUUUCAAGUUAGAGGUUAAAUCCCAUGGAUCCACUGAUAUAUUGUUAAUGACACGUUUAUUUUAUUAAUCACAAAUGCACGAUCAAGUAAAACUCAGCAUGAUGCAAGAUUUAGUGAUGUCCUUUGUUAGUCAUUUAUUGGUUUAAGUGAUGUGUCCACAUGAUAUGAUAGAUGGAGAUGGCACACAAGUAAUCAAAGGAAUAUGAUUUUCCUCCUUCUAGAUUUUUUUUUACAAAGUGGGUAUUACAAAUCCUACCCCCCUUAAAAAUAAUCUCGUCCUCGAGAUUUAAGGAGAUCUAGGGAAAAGAUGGGGGAAGUCUAUACGAAGCUCUUCUUCUCUUUCCCACGUUGCUUCAUCUUCACCGUGGUGACUCCAUUGUACCUUGCACAUCUUUAUCACCUUAUUUCUUGUAACUCGAGUCAAAGUGUCCAAAAUCUGGAUGGGGUACUCAGCAUAAGUCAGGUCAUCUUGAACGCUAAGGUCCUCUAGUGGUAGCUGCUCCUCAGGUACCCUGAGGCACUUCUUUAGCUGAGACACAUGAAACACAUCAUGAACAUCUGCAAGAUGAUCCGGUAACUCCAAUUGAUAUGCAACCUCUCCCACUCGCUUUAAGAUUAAGAAGGGUCCAAUAAAGCGAGGGGACAACUUUCCUUUGACUUUAAAUCUUCUCAUACCCCGGAGUGGUGACACCUUCAAAUAGACAUGAUCACCCUCCCGGAACUCCAGUAGUCUUCUCCUAUUAUCAGCAUAGCUCUUCUGCCUGGAUUGUGCAACUCUCAAAUUUUCUCUUAUCAUUCGCACUUGUUCUUCCGCCUCUUGAAUAAGUUCAGGCCCAAAGAACUGUCUUUCUCCAGUUUGAUCCCAAUAUAGAGGAGUCCUGCAUUUUCUACCAUACAGAGCUUCAAAUGGUGACAUCCUCAAACUGGCCUGGUAGCUAUUAUUAUAAGAAAACUCAGCAUAUGGUAAACUCUUCUCCCAACUUCCACCAUGCUUGAGAGCACAAGCUCUUAACAUAUCUUCCAGCACUUGAUUAGUCCUCUCUGUCUGUCCAUCAGUCUGAGGAUGGUAGGCUGAACUAAAAUUCAACUUAGUGCUCGUAUUCUCAUGAAAGCUUCUCCAAAACCUUGAGGUAAACUGUGAACCUCGAUCAGACACGAUCUUCUUAGGUACUCCAUGUAAACAAACUAUCCGAGUCAUAUACAAUUCUGCUAGCUUGGCCCCCGUGUAAUUAGUCCUCACAGGUAUGAAAUGAGCCACUUUCGUCAAUCUGUCCACAAUUACCCAAAUAGAGUCAUAUCCUGCUGGAGUGCGGGGUAGUCCAACAAUAAAAUCCAUGCCAAUUUCUUCCCAUUUCCACUCAGGAAUCUUAAGCGGGUGCAAUAGUCCAGCGGGUCUUUGAUGUUCGGCCUUGACUCUUUGACACACAUCACACUUAGCCACAUGAGCAGCAACAUCUCUUUUCAGUCCAUACCACCAAUACUUUUGCUUCAAAUCUUGAUACAUCUUAGUGCUACCAGGGUGGAUUGAGUAAUCAGAAUCAUGAGCUUCUUUCAAUAUAGUCUCACGGAGGCUAUCAAUCUCUGGAACACAUAUCCGAUCUUUAAACCAUAUAGUACCUUGCUCAUCCUCCGUGAAUUCCGGAACUCGACCAUCCGUGAUCAGAUCCUUAAUCUCUUGAAUCUUAGCAUCCCCAACCUGACCUUUACGAAUCUCUUGCUCCAAGGUAGGUUCCAACUCGAUGGUAACUCCUUCAGUGUGUGUAACAAUUCCCAAAUUGAGUCUCUCAAAGUCUUUUGCUAAUUCAUCGUGUAGCUGGACAACAAAAGCGGAGUGAACAUGUUCUUUCCGACUCAAGGCAUCUGCGACCAAAUUCGCCUUGCCCGGGUGAUAGUGAAUCUCCAAAUCAUAAUCCUUGAUGAGCUCCAACCAACGGAGUUGCCUAAGGUUGAGAUCCUUCUGAGUGAAUAUAUACUUCAAGCUCUUAUGAUCCAUGUAUACUUGGCACUUAGUUCCCAUAAUGUAGUGUCUCCAAAUUUUAAGUGCAUGCACACUGCUGCCAGCUCUAAAUCAUGAGUGGGGUAGUUCAAUUCAUGUUUCCGCGACUGACGAGAUGCAUAGGCAAUCACAUGACCUUCUUGCAUGAGCACACAUCCCAAUCCUUGGCCACAUGCAUCACAAUAAAUGUCAAAUCCCUUCUGCAGAUCUGGCAUAAUCAAUACCGGAGGUGACAUCAAUCUCUCCUUCAAUUGAUCAAAGCUCUCUUGACAUUUCUCAUCCCACUUAAAUUCUCUUCCCUUCUCCAGAAGCGAGGUCAUGGGCUUAGCAAUCUUAGAAAAUCCUUCAAUAAAUCUCCGAUAAUAACCUGCUAGUCCUAAGAAACUCCGAAUCUUCUUAACUGUAGUGGGUAUGCUCCAAACCACUAUAUCCUUAACUUUAGCAGGAUCCACUAAUAUCCCUCCAUUAGAGAUGAUAUGUCCAAGGAAUGACACCUUAUCAAUUCAAAACACGCAUUUUCUAUACUUGGCAUAGAGUUGAUUGUCUCAUAGUUUCUAUAGCACCAAUAUCAGAUGAUCACUAGCACUCUUGGAACAAAUAAAAAUAUCGUCGAUGAAAACCAUGACGAAUCUGUCCAGAUUGUGAACACCUUAUUCUUUAGACCCAUAAAAUAGGCUGGUGCAUUGGUUAAUCCAAAUGACAUAACAGUAAACUCAUAUAAUCCAUAUCAGGUCGAGAAAGCCGUCUUAGGAAUAUCCGAUGGUCUAAUCUUCAUUUGAUGGUAUCCCGAUCAGAGAUCAAUCUUCGAGAAUACCCUAGCAUCUCUCAUCCGAUCAAAUAAAUCUUCAAUGCGGGGUAAUGGAUACUUGUUCUUCACAGUGACAUCAUUAAGGGUCCUAUAAUCCACGCACAUCCCUUGCGAUCCAUCUUUCUUUUGUACAAAUAGAACCGGCGCUCCACAAAGUGAAGACUUCGGACGAAUAUAUCCAGCCUCUUGUAAUUCCAUUAAUCGCUUCUUAAGUUCCUUUAGUUCUUCUACGGACAUUCUGUAUAGCCGUUUAGAAAUAGGAACAGUCCCAGGUAAGAGAUCAAUGACAAACUCAACUUCCCUAUCUGGUGGCAUCCCUGAUAACUCCUCCGGAAAAACAUCCGGAAAAUCUUUAACCACACAGAUGUUGUCACCAACAAACUUCCCAUCUACUAAGAAUGCCGCUAGUCUGGUGGCGGUAGUUACUGCAAUUCCAACUUCAAAUCUUUCUCCUUUGGAACUGGUGAGUUCUACGGUUCCCUUAGCAUGGUUUAUAUACUGCCUUUGCCUCUCUUAACCAUGACAUACCAAGGAUCACGUCUAUAGUGCUCUCUUUUAACACUAUAGGGGUAGGCCAUCUUGGUUAGAAACACAGGAUAAGAAAGGAAGAAUUUGUAGACAAGGCGAGUAAUUACGAGAAAUGUUACUACGGGGGAUUUAUUAGCUAAGUAGAUUAGUGUGUUAUCCACUAAAGCUAAUACAUUACCUUAUAGUGGUACAUGCUAAGAUGUCCGUCUAUACUAUUUCAAUCAAUCAAAGAAGCAAAUCAGGCAUUGAUCAUCAGGACAAUCAACCAACAUUUUAAAUAGAGAAAAUAGUUUUUUUAAAAUUUUUUGUCUUAGGUCUCCUAUCUCUUAAAAUUUUUAUAGGGGUAGAGAUUUCAAGGUGUGAAAUCCAUCUUGUCUCAGAGUAGAAAAGGUAAGAAUCAUCAGAGUAGAACAGUAGAAGGUGAAACAAGAUCAAGAUAAGUAUAGAGAAAAUCAGAGUAAGGUAAGUAUAGAAUGAAUCAGAGUAAGAUAAGUAGAUAAGGGUUUUGUCCAUUUCUAUCUAGGUUUCGUCCUACAGUCAACAUUUCCUCUGAUACCACUUCUGUCACACCCGGUUUUAAGGAACAAAGCCGGGUGCAUCUCAUACAUGCGCCAAGAAGACAACAUAUACAAUAACAGAGUGUAUAGAGAUAAAUGUCAUAAAACAUCAGAGUAUUUAUUACAUAGCGGAAGACUUAAUACAAAAUAAAAGAAUAAACAUAAAACGAACUAAGGAUCGUUGGCGCCAAUGUCAACUGAGAAACGCCACCUAGAUCAGAUCAUACUCCUCGCCUUGUGGAUCCUCCUGAACCACCUGCUCUUCUCCUGUGGGGGGGUGUGAGACAGCAAGGGUGAGCUCACAUACGUUCAUCGCUCAACAAGUUGUGGGGAAUAAUGUGGCAUAAACUCACCAAAGGUGGGAGUUCAUGAAGUGUAAGGCUGAUCAAUGAAAUAAAGGCUGAAGCUGAGCAUUGCUUUUAUAAGUUGAUCAAAAUUUUAUUAGCAAUUACUAAGUGUAAGUAAAUACCAACCAUUAGAAAUAAUAAAUAAAAGUAAUAAUGAAAUAUUCCCAGAUGCAAUGAAAUGACAGAUUGAGUUUAAGUUCCAUAAUUUAAUCAUGUGAGUGUCCGAGCCGCUCAUGACCGUGAGCACGGCUAGUAUACCAGUUUUACACUCUGCAGAGGUUGCGCAUCUUUACCCACAAGUCGUGUUACCCAUUUGCCACGGAGUUGAUCAGACUCCAUACACCUCUACCAAGGAAGCGAGGCAGGGUACCACUACGAGGCCUUUACAAAGUUCCACUAGCUUCAGACUACCCGCUACAGUUUAUAGGAAGCUCCAGUGCAGGGUUCUUGUCUGACCGCCAUCGCAGCAAAAUCAACCCAAGGACCUCCCUACACUGACCACUCCCCUACUGCCCUUGCCCCUUUCAGGUAAGGUAGCCCUCCACUAGCUUUCCUAGUUAAUCAGCCAAGGGCGUCCCAUUAAACCCUUGUGGUAGCACUGUUUUCCCGGGUGGUUCUCCAUGUUCCCAUUAACAUAAUGAUCUUAUCAUGAAUAAUAAUAAUAAACAGAUAAUAAAAAGUAUAACAAUGAGUGAUGAAUAUCUUUAUACCCAAAGCCACAUAAAGCAAUAGCAUAUACUACCCAAAAAGUUUGUAGUAAAACCAGUGGUGAUACAAGGUAUAAAGAUAGUCAAAAUCUAGGGUAUCCUAUUGGGUCCCAGCAAAAUUAACCUAUGCAGAUCAUUAUGAUUAAUAAGAACAUGAAUAGGUAAAAGAAGUGAUCAAGGGCACAACUUGCCUUCCACGAGCUCCUGCUCAGCUAUCUCUACUUGCUGAACCUCAGAUUCCAUUGUGGCUUGCUCGUCUACCCGCAUCAACACAAUACAUACAUAACAUAGCAUAAAUUAACAUUACACCAAACAUGCAAAUGGAAUAUACAGUAAUAAACUAGACAUUAAAAUAUAAUCAUAGGAACUGGAAUCAUUAAAUUUGGAGGUAUAGAUUUUAAGUUAUGGAUUUUCUAAUGUUUUAUGUGCUUAAUACAAGAUUAAGUGAAAGAAUAAUUUUAAUGUGUUUGUCAUGUCAGAACAGAGGCACUAAUGGGUAGACAAUAUUAUUACAAAAAUUUAGGAACUGGAAUGGAUCAAUUUGGAGUUCAUAUGCAUUUUCUAUGAAUUAAACUAGUUUCUGCCAUUAAUUUAAUAUUAAAAAUCUAUUUAUAAAUUCAUUUCUCUGGUUUUUUUCUGCUCUCUGGACUAGGCCUCAAAUACCAGAAAGAGCAGGGGCUCAGGCGCAAAACUUCCUAAGACACAGAAACCCGAGGAGAGGACCGCGGGUUGAUUUCCCUAAAGAAUAAGGACUUUUCUGAAAAGCGUGCGCAGCGAAGGGGUAUCCGACGAUCUAGGCCGUCCGAUCCACUACAGACGAUUGCGAUUAGAUUGACCGUGGUUAGAUUUCAGCCUCCCCUUGCUACCGUCGGAUCUAUGCUCAAGGACCCAGAUUUUACUAAACAAUAUCAAUUCCUGAGCGUCCAUCCACAGAUCAAUGGCUUGGAUUUCUUCUAACCGAGCCGGCACCUGGGAUCUAAUCUUCACCGUCCAACUCACGAUCGACGGCAACCUAUGUUGCUCCUACCUUGGUCAACAGAGCGCGGCGGCGCCGCCCAGUGGCCACGGCGAGCCAUCGCCGGAGGUGCACAACGCUCGACUCAGAGCCCUACGGUUCACCCCGAAUGGUGCUACGCGAAGCGAAGAGUAGGGCGAAUAGCAUGAGGGCAUUCUCACCUCGGAUUAUUGCGCGGGCGAGUUUGGCCACGCGGUGGUGUCGCUCGACGAAGUCCGACGAGCAAUUGCCCGCACCGCAGUCCUCUUCCACACCAACGGCGCCCACCAACGACUCCGCGACGUCCUGGUGGAUGUACCGGGUGGCGCGUCAGGGUGGAGUGACGGCGGCAAUGGAAAUCCCUCACCACGCCCAGGUCUCGGUUCGAAUGGUGAGAGCGGUCGACAAGUUUAGGAUAGGAUGUAGCUAAACCUGGGAAGGGGCAGUGUGAUGCGCGCGAGGCUUGGAGUCUUAUAGCCCGGAGGCUGAGCCGCAGAUCCCGGUGACGGCAGUUGCGCCGACCGGAUGAGCUCGCGAUAGGUGCGGGGGUUAGUUUCAUCCCAACACCGGCUUGGGAAAGACCGACCGAGCGGAUCACAACAACCCGCCGAUUCCUCCCCGAUAGGUGCGCGCAAGGAAAAUGGAGGAGCUGACCACGCACGCGAGAAGGACGAGAGAGCUUAUCGCGCGAGGACGACGGAUUUGGUUGCAACAGCCCCGAUCCGAGCUGGGAGAUGACCCUGGCAUGUCGCCCCACCA